GUGAUCACAUUUUGUUCAUCUUUAAGUAUUUACCAUCAAUAUCAGACCUGGCAUAAAGUCUAUGCUCACUACCAAUUUGUUAUAUGAGUGGAGAUAAUGUAUGAAUGUAAGAUUAGUGGUAUGUAUCAGUGGGAUAUAGCUCUUAAAACCAGAAUGAUUUUGAUUUAUGAGUGAAAUGGGUACUUAAGAGGGGUGAAGAGAAAAAAUAUCUAUCUAUUAAACAAUAUCGAUGAGGUUAACUUCCAAAGAUUAACUUUGUCUGCAUAACAAUUUUGCAAGGGUAAUAUGAUAGUGUGAUCCUCACUUAUAAGGUACUCUGAAGAAAAUAAAUAUUACAGGGAAGGGGAUGUUUCCUGUGUUCAAAAAUGGUCAAUAAUUACUGGAUACUCUGGUACAUGAAGAUUCACAAUGUAUUUUAUUAUGUUAAGGGCUUUGAGGAGUUCUCCUGCAAAUAAACCUAUUUAGUCUUAUUUAUCCUAGUGUUUAACCUGUCUUUGUGGAUUAAUUUGACCACAGGAUCACUUUCGUGUAUGUGAGUUACCUAUUAACCUCCCAAGGAAAGCACUUGGGAACUGUUACGAGACUAGGAAUUCUGAACUGAGCAUCAAGAGCUCUGGGUUCUACUCCUGACUCAUAAUUAGUGACCUCAUGACCUUGGGCACAAAUUCUUGGUUUCCCUAUCUCUAAGAAUGAGUUGUUAGUACUAGAUUGCCUUUCAACUUUAUUACUUUAUUUAUUACUGUUAUGCUUUAUCAUCCAUGGAAUUGGGGGCUAGCUCCAGGAGUAUCACAGGAGGAAUGGAUGGUCACUGUUGAAAAAGCAGAGAAGUAUACUGGGUGGCUGCCAGAGGAACCAUUUCACCAGCCAGCCACUUUUGUUCUUCCCUGCCCUAUGCAUCCUACUCCUGUACAUAUAUUCUGUUUCCCAAUAGUCCAAAUAACUAGAGAGAAAUGCCAUAGACUCAAUGUCCCCCAUUUAAGGUUAACAUGAAAAUGAUUGAG